GAGGGACCAGACAUCAAUCCAGGCUCUGCAAAUCUUUCUGGACAAGUCUCUCGUAUUUCAAACUUAUGCAUCCUGAGUCCUGACCUACUGGCACCCCAUACCUGUCGUCAGAGAGAUGGAUCCUGGUGUCUGCCGAGCUGAACCUCACCUUGAUCCUCCCUCCCAUCUUGGCGAUAAGAGUGAUUCUCUGAAGGAAGAAGAACCCCCAUUGGAUGUCUGCUCUUUUUAUGAGGGGCAGAAAUGUUCCUGUGGAAUUUUAAUAACGAAAGGAGAGUGAGAUGGGGAAGGACACAGUGGAAGAGAUGGACAGAUGAGCAGAGUAAAUUACAUCUUCUUGGGACCAAGGGACAUUCAAAGCGAUGCACUAAGGGACACAAGACCGAGACACACCACAUGAAGCAACAAGGGGCAUGGCCAAAGCUCUGACUCACACAAGCAAGAAGCACAACUGCACACAACACAAACUCACCGCAAAAAGAUCUAAACAGACACAGAAGGGAGAGGAGGGAUGCAAGAUGCACUCAAGCAAGAAGCACAUAUGCACAAAACACACACACAAGAAAUAUAACACGAGACACACAAGACUUCCACAAACAAGGGAUUCAAAUACACAAUAUACAAACAAACAGAAGGCGAAACAUGCAAGACUGACAUACAAAUACACACA